rnacentral:ncRNA from 2 species
CGGCGCUGCACGCUUCAAGGUGUCCCGGCGGGAGAUUCGCUCCCGCGGGAUGAAACGGGAAACAGGUGAGCGGAGUCGAUCCAGGCGCCGCGAUCCCUGUGCUGCCCCCGCAACGGUAAGCGAGGCGGCGUACCUGCUGGCCACUGCGAAUUUUUCGCGGGAAGGCCGUACGCCCCGGUGGAGUCCGCUCCACCCCUCGUGAGCCCGGAGACCGGCCUUGUCGCGUUUCUUUCA